AGGGGAAGCUGCUCCGGCAUUGAAGAUGAUGACUCGUCCGGGUGGCAAUGAUCAGCCUGCUGCUGCUGCGGCCAACAAUCGCCAAGGUGGUUGUCGCGAUGAUCAUGUCGGGGAGAUUGAAGAUAAAUAUUAAGAUUAUUAUAUAUGCAUGUCAUGCGGAUUGAGGUGAGCAACGAUGAUUUUUCUAUAAUUGUGAUCUGAACACGCUGGCUGGCUGAUCGAUCCAUAUUUGUUCUACUGCAGGCCGCCAGGCUCUACAAAAUUGAAUAACAAGAUAUUAUGACCACAGUAAACAUUUCUAGUGUACAUUUUUUUCUUGGUUUACUUUAGGAUUUAGAUAUAUACCUUGUUGCGUGGCAUUUCAGCUGCUUAUCUCUUGCCUUGACAGCAAUAUAGCUUUUAUUCUAUAGAACUUUCGCAGCAUACAGUGGUUCUAAAAGUUUGGUUAUUUUUUGCUGCUAAAAAUGUUAUGGGCUCUGGGCCCAGGAUGGGAGUCAGCAUAUAUUGCUGCCGUGCAGUAAGCACGAGUUACUACUGAAGAAAUGAAUUGCUAGCAAGGCAAUAUACGAGCGGUAAGUAUUUUUUAGUUACAC
rnacentral:lncRNA from 1 species